rnacentral:rRNA from 1 species
UUUAUGGAGAGUUUGAUCCUGGCUCAGAGUGAACGCUGGCGGCGUGCCUAAUACAUGCAAGUCGAACGAUGAAGUUUCUAGCUUGCUAGAAUGCUGAUUAGUGGCGCACGGGUGAGUAACGCAUAGGUCAUGUGCCUCUUAGUUUGGGAUAGCCAUUGGAAACGAUGAUUAAUACCAGAUACUCCCUACGGGGGAAAGAUUUAUCGCUAAGAGAUCAGCCUAUGUCCUAUCAGCUUGUUGGUAAGGUAAUGGCUUACCAAGGCUAUGACGGGUAUCCGGCCUGAGAGGGUGAACGGACACACUGGAACUGAGACACGGUCCAGACUCCUACGGGAGGCAGCAGUAGGGAAUAUUGCUCAAUGGGGGAAACCCUGAAGCAGCAACGCCGCGUGGAGGAUGAAGGUUUUAGGAUUGUAAACUCCUUUUGUUAGAGAAGAUAAUGACGGUAUCUAACGAAUAAGCACCGGCUAACUCCGUGCCAGCAGCCGCGGUAAUACGGAGGGUGCAAGCGUUACUCGGAAUCACUGGGCGUAAAGAGCGCGUAGGCGGGAUAGUCAGUCAGGUGUGAAAUCCUAUGGCUUAACCAUAGAACUGCAUUUGAAACUACUAUUCUAGAGUGUGGGAGAGGUAGGUGGAAUUCUUGGUGUAGGGGUAAAAUCCGUAGAGAUCAAGAGGAAUACUCAUUGCGAAGGCGACCUGCUGGAACAUUACUGACGCUGAUUGCGCGAAAGCGUGGGGAGCAAACAGGAUUAGAUACCCUGGUAGUCCACGCCCUAAACGAUGGAUGCUAGUUGUUGGAGGGCUUAGUCUCUCCAGUAAUGCAGCUAACGCAUUAAGCAUCCCGCCUGGGGAGUACGGUCGCAAGAUUAAAACUCAAAGGAAUAGACGGGGACCCGCACAAGCGGUGGAGCAUGUGGUUUAAUUCGAAGAUACACGAAGAACCUUACCUAGGCUUGACAUUGAGAGAAUCCGCUAGAAAUAGUGGAGUGUCUGGCUUGCCAGACCUUGAAAACAGGUGCUGCACGGCUGUCGUCAGCUCGUGUCGUGAGAUGUUGGGUUAAGUCCCGCAACGAGCGCAACCCCCUUUCUUAGUUGCUAACAGGUUAUGCUGAGAACUCUAAGGAUACUGCCUCCGUAAGGAGGAGGAAGGUGGGGACGACGUCAAGUCAUCAUGGCCCUUACGCCUAGGGCUACACACGUGCUACAAUGGGGUGCACAAAGAGAAGCAAUACUGCGAAGUGGAGCCAAUCUUCAAAACACCUCUCAGUUCGGAUUGUAGGCUGCAACUCGCCUGCAUGAAGCUGGAAUCGCUAGUAAUCGCAAAUCAGCCAUGUUGCGGUGAAUACGUUCCCGGGUCUUGUACUCACCGCCCGUCACACCAUGGGAGUUGUGUUUGCCUUAAGUCAGGAUGCUAAAUUGGCUACUGCCCACGGCACACACAGCGACUGGGGUGAAGUCGUAACAAGGUAACCGUAGGUGAACCUGCGGUUGGAUCACCUCCUUUCUA